rnacentral:rRNA from 1 species
UACGUAGGGGGCAAGCGUUGCUCGGAAUCACUGGGCGUAAAGGGUGCGUAGGCGGGAUGGCAAGUCGGUCGUGAAAUCCCUCGGCUCAACUGAGGAUCGUCGAUCGAUACUGCCGUUCUUGAGGAUUGCAGAGGAGACUGGAAUUCCCGGUGUAGCGGUGAAAUGUGUAGAGAUCGGGAGGAACACCGGUGGCGAAGGCGGGUCUCUGGGCAAUUCCUGACGCUGAGGCGCGAAAGCGUGGGGAGCAAACGGG